rnacentral:pre_miRNA from 1 species
GACUUACUCCCUCUGUUCGAAAUUACUUGUCAUCAAAAUGGAUGAAAAUGAAUGUAUCUAGAACUAAAAUAUAUCUAGAUACAUCCAUUUUAAUGACAAGUAUUUCCGGACAGAAGGAGUACCAG